AGGUCCUUUUCACCUUUCUCUUUUUGUUGGAAUGCAGUCCUUCCCUGUUUUUCCUGCACUUGGACACACCUAGGCUAGAGCAUGAGACUGGACGUGUCCAGGUUCAUCUUUAUGGACUUGCUGAUUUUCUGCUGGAUUCAGCUUCUGCUUUUCAACAAGAAAAGAAGCUGAACAUCCAGCAAGCGAAUUUUAACAUGCUUUUUGAAAGCCUUGCAAUAAAUCAAAGGCAGCUGGGUACCCUUCAGCAGCCAUGUGUGGCCAUUCCAGCCCUUCCAGAGAGCAACUCUAAAAAAUAUUUCUGCUGGAACUACAAGAAAUAUGAUAUGUACAUAUCUGAAUUCCAGAUAUGUACAGGGAAUGCAUUUCAAGAAAUGGAUGAUGCCUGCUGUAUUGCCAGCUUCCUGGAGGAACCCACCAUGACAAAGUAUUAACAAAGAUAGGCCUGAUUAUGAAUUAUGCUGCUGGGAACUGCUUUUGACAUGAUAUGAGGAUGUGUCCAACCUGUAAGGAAGCGGAAAGAACAGUCCAUGAAACAUUUUGGGAGAAGCACAUGCUCCUCAGGACUUACAGCAGCUCUAGUAUUUCAGCAGGACUCUGACAAUUUGAAAACAGAGGGAAAAAAAGGGAAGAGUCAGCAUGCACACAGCCAACGAGAUGAAUAUCUGGAGGUAAACAUGCAGCUUGACCCCUGUGACUUGGAAGGGACUCAGCCUCAUGGGAAGGAAAAGCCUCCCUGCCAGAUUGCACACACACCACUGUGGUCAGCAGAGAAAAUCAGGACAGUGGCUCAAUAUGAGGAGAAAAUGCUUCCAUAGAGAGUUUCACAAAAUGACAUGAUUCUGUGAAAAACUGAGUUGGAAGGUAACAAAGUUAAAUCAGUUAGCAUAUGGACUCACGUUUUUCUAAAGAGACAGUAAUCUGCUAGACAUUUUGUAGUGAAAACUCAACUGGCAAAAGCACAGACCAUAUCUAGAUGAUGCUGAAGUUAACACUUUCAAAGACUAGUUACAUGAACUGUUAAGAGAAAGAACCCAAAGAGCAACUAGCACUGCUUCUGCAUUACUUUACUACCUUGUUGUCUAUUCCAGACAUAAUCCCAUACCUCUAGGCAGCCACUUCAAUUGGUUCAGUCAUCAGUCCCUAAAGUGGUGUAAACCACAAAGUGUAGAAAAUGUUUGUUUGAAAGCACUACUGUGAGUGACAAACCAAAGUCUGACGCAGGCAAAUCACACAGCUGUCCUGCCCCCAUAAAGUCAAUCUCCUGUUCCCUUUCACACCCCAAUAUCUUAGUCACAUUGCACAUGUGGCAGCUGCCAUUUGUUUACUGUGCAUCCAAGGACAUGCUGCUUGGUUUAGAGUUUCUGUUGACAAAGAGGAAGACAUAUGCAUUACACUAAGACAAGCAACAUUAUUCUUGAAACUCAGGUCUUAGUAUGAUGAAACUCAGGUCUGAAUAUGUCAGGGCAUUGUUGGACAUCUGAUGUGUCCUUUCCUGUUUGACUGGCAGAACAUCUGAUCCAUUAGAUUGGUAGUGGAGCAGAACAAGUUUGAAGAAGUACAAAAGAACAAGGGCAAUAGAUCACAAUACUUCUUUAUAUUUAAAAAAAAAUGUUGUGGGUUUGCGGUACUUCAAUUCAGUUUAGAUGAUCAUGUGGCACUGAGAAAAGUCUUCCAACAUUGCAUGUCAGUAAAAUACAUUUGAAUAGGUUUAUGUAGAAGCUCCCCAAACAGUUUUGGAUGCAGUAUACUUAAUAUGAUUGGUAUGAAAAACACAGCCUAGCAAAGUACUCUGUGCUAUCAAGAAUCAUAGCAUUAGUUCUUAGGAUGAUUUCAAAAGUAUUUUAGUAGAUCAGAACCAGUGUUUUCAUUUUAGCUGGAUUUACUAUAGAUUUACAUUUACUAUAGAUUUAUAGAUUUACAAAGAAUCAAAAGCUGAGAGUUGUGUAUAAUAGCAAAUGCUACAUGUACAUAAAUAUUUCUCACUUUCAGUAGUUACUGGAAUGGUUUGGUGGAGUCAUGCUCAAUGACUGUUCCAAACUAACAACAUUUGUAAUAGUCUAGGAAUACUAUAAAAAUUCACAAAGAACAAAAGUUAGGGUGCAUUGAUGGGAUUGUCUUUAUCUUUCAGGUGGGGAGAACUUUAUGACAGGAAACAACAAUAGGUUAGAGUAAACAGCUUAUUUUGCCUACCUUCAUAUUUCAAUACAGUAGUUCAAUAUGACCACAUUUCUCCAAAGACUCGUAUUCUGUUAUUGAAAGGUAAUGGUGGGAACCAACUUAAGAACAUGUAAAAUGCAAGAUUUUUUAAUCAAUGAGAAGCUAUUAAUUUAACCAAGCCUUCCUGUAAUAAUAUUGAGACAGACUGUCUGCCUGUUUUUACAUUAUAGCUAGCUUUGCAAUCUGUACAGAAUAUAAUGAGGUGUGUACUUUUUGUGAAUAUAUUGAUUGAGAGUGCUCCUUAGUGCUGCCAAAAACUUGGUAUCGCUCCACGAUUCUUGAGAGUUUGUUUGUUUUCUGGAACAACCAAGUUGUUAUUUUAGUAGGAGUUGUUGACUCUUGCCACUCACUACAUGUAGGAUUCAUUACGUUUAUCUUCACUAGAUCCCAUUAAGCUCAGACGUAAAUUCAGACUUAACGUGAUCCAAUGGAUCAGUGAUCUGACAGACCCCCAUGUUAAACCACAUUGAUGCUUCACUUGUCAGGUUCAUGAAAGCCAUUGUGCACAUGUGGUUCUGCAGCAGCAGGAUUCCUCAAAUCCCCAAACCACCUCAGCCACUAAUCUAAGCAAUUCUUGACCUGACAUAUUUGGAGCUGACCAAAAAUUCAAGGCAAAAAUUUGAGGUGGACAAUGUAAUUUUUAAGACUUAGAGAAACCUAAUGGAUCUUCUUAAUCUAAAAACAUUCCUUAGUUUAAGCAUCUUUAUCUCACUUUCAUGAUGUAUCACUGCUGAUUUCAGCAGAAUCAUCCACAGCUGAAAUCCAACAAAGAAUUAUGAUUUUAUCAAAUGUGGCUUUAUCGUAGAUUUUAUUUAAAAUUGUUAUUAGCUCAGAAGACAUACAAAAGAGAAUUUAUAGCUAAAUAUACUCAAAUCAUUGAAAAAUUAAGAAGCAUUUUGCUUGCUGAUUUCUUUAACUUGGUUCUAUAACUAUUUGAUAUGUUCUAUGUACUGACUUUUUGGUGUAGUAUCUGAGCAUCUUCCAUUAGCACAUUAAGCAAUAUAAGUAAUGUCUGAAACAUGAUACAUACUCUGAAAAAAUUUCCCUUUGUGUAUGGAAAAACAAAACAAAUGUACUGGAUUGUGGAAAAAGUAGAAUCAGCGCUACUUCAGUGUUAAACAGAGCUGGCUGGAAAAAACAGGUAUUCUGGAUUUUUUGGAAAUGCCAAGGUUUUACAGCUUGUGCUUAUCUCACAUUAGGAAAAAGCUGGGGAAAAGAGAGAAAAAACACUUUGUUAGUAAGACAGUUUUGCACAUUCCAUUAGAAGUGGGAGACAAGGAUGAGAUGAUGUCCCUGAUCAUUACAGGGGCUUGAAUUAGAUGACCUUUGAAAGUCCCUUUCAACCCAAACCAUUCUUUGUCUGUGAAUGAUUCCAUGACUGAGAUUCCAUGAAUGUCCUGUAUAAUAGCUACCAAAGCCACUGGAGGUUGUUCUAUGCAGCGCGCAUGCAUCAUCCCCAACAGGUUGCUGCUUCUUACGCUCUAGUCUGAGAAAUGGGUUCUGGGAAAUUGUGAUGGAAAUGAAACAACCUGGCAUGUGGUAAGUCUGCUCCAGAGGAGUUCAUCACCCUUCCCACAUGCCACCAACACAGAAAAAAACAGGAAAAAGCUCAGUAUAUAUUUAGAAAGGUCAUAGAAAGGUGUUACACAGUCUAAAGAUGGAUCACAUGUUAAAUACUGGAACAUAAUGAUUAGUAGGGGCACAUUGUUCUCUUCGUUGUCUGGUGCAUUUCAAUAACCUUUAUCCCAGUCACCUGCUAGCUAGCUAAAAUAUAAUACAGAAUAACUAUAGUCUGAUGCUUACAUUUUCUAAUGAAAAUUUUAGCUAUAAGUACUUGUCUAGUUUUGGUAUAUUUUUAUUUAUUUUUGACAGAAAUAAA